rnacentral:rRNA from 1 species
AUUGAACGCUGGCGGCAUGCUUUACACAUGCAAGUCGAACGGCAGCGCGGGCUUCGGCCUGGCGGCGAGUGGCGAACGGGUGAGUAAUGCAUCGGAACGUGCCCAGUAGUGGGGGAUAGCCCGGCGAAAGCCGGAUUAAUACCGCAUACGACCUGAGGGUGAAAGCGGGGGACCGAAAGGCCUCGCGCUAUUUGAGCGGCCGAUGUCGGAUUAGCUAGUUGGUGGGGCAAAGGCUUACCAAGGCGACGAUCCGUAGCUGGUCUGAGAGGACGACCAGCCACACUGGAACUGAGACACGGCCCAGACUCCUACGGGAGGCAGCAGUGGGGAAUUUUGGACAAUGGGGGCAACCCUGAUCCAGCCAUGCCGCGUGCGGGAAGAAGGCCUUCGGGUUGUAAACCGCUUUUGUUCGGGAAGAAAUCCUCUGGGCUAAUACCCCGGGGGGAUGACGGUACCGGAAGAAUAAGCACCGGCUAACUACGUG